AUGGUGUGCAUAGGCGUCGCCGAGUGCCAGCACGUCCACCGAACGGCGCUGGACUACUUCCUCGCUGUGCUCAUCGUCGUCGCGGCCGUCGUGGCGGUGAGGUUGCUCAUCUGUGCCCUGGUGCGGUGCCUCAAGGACGGCUGCGUGGCGCACCACCACCACCACAGCCCCGCGACCACCGACACCGACGAGGACAUGGAGGUCUGGGCCGGCACGGAGCUGGAUAUCCAUAGGCAUGCUGAUCGGCAUGUCCAGCAGGAUCGUCGGCCGGAAGCCGUCGAGGUGGUGGUCCCACCGCCGGCUAGGACCACGGCAUAG
rnacentral:rRNA from 1 species